CGGGACUGGAGGGUGCGGGAACGGGUGUGCGGGACCGGGAUGUGCGGGACUGGAGGGUGCGGGAAUGGGGAGUGCGGAGUGUGCGGGAACGGGUGUGCAGGACUGGAGGGUGCGGGAAUGGGGAGUGCGGAGUGUGCGGGACCGGGUGUGCAGGACUGGGAUGUGCGGGACCGGGGAGUGCGGGAAUGGGGAGUGCGGAGUGUGCAGGAACGGGUGUGCAGGACUGGGAUGUGCGGGAAUGGGGAGUGCGGGACCGGGGAGUGCAGGACUGGGAUGUGCGGGGUGUGCAGGGUGUGCGGGACCGGGAUGUGCGGGGUGUGCAGGGUGUGCGGGACAGGGUUGUGUGGGACCGGGAAGUACGGGACAAGGGAGUGCGGGGUGUGCGGGGCCGGGGUGUGCGGGCCGCGGCUGUGCAUUGCUGGGGGUGUGCGGAUUCACAGUGUGCGGGCCCAGGGUUGUGCGGGGCCGGGGCUCCGGCGGCUGUGUGGAGUCGGGGCUGCAGGGCUGGGGUGCGGGGGGAGCGCGGGCAGAGCUGUUCUGGCUUUCACUCAUGCCAGCUCCCAAGAGUGGGGCUGCACGUCCCCGUUUUGCCGAGGAAGACGGGGAAGGAGUGAUGUGCUCGACGCAGGAGGAGAUUCGACUCUGCAACGCUGUGCCCCCUUUUCCUUACCCACCUGCCGAACAACUUCCAGCCUACCCCUAUUUCCACUCCUAUUCUCUGCAUACAGCCAAUGGAGGACUGCAGAGUGUCAGGUUAACAGCGGGACUCAAUGAUCUUAGGGGUCUUUCCCAACCAAAUUCUAUUCUAUUCUAUUCUAUUCUAUUCUAUUCUAUUCUAUUCUAUUCUAUUCUAUUCUAUUCUAUUCUAUUCUAUUCUAUUCUAUUCCAAACAAGCCAAGGCAAUUCUGGUGUGUAUAUCACUAAACCAUGGUUGCACAUUGCCAUGGAAGAGCAGCAAUUUUAAUAUGAUAAAGAACAAAAUUGACACAUGUACCAACUGACACUGAGCCAGUAUCUGGGGAACAUGUUAAAAAGAACUGAGGACUCUUAAUUACACCACUCCAACAAAAGAAGGAAUGUUUUGAAAACAUUUAAUAAAACUACCUUUCAAAUCA
rnacentral:lncRNA from 1 species